rnacentral:lncRNA from 10 species
GUUUCCACUUCAGUCUCCGAUUGACCACAGGCCUUCAUAAGGUGUAUCUAAUUGGAGGCUUCAAAACAGCCCCUAGUGGCGUUGCCGGAUUCUUUUGGCUUAAUAAAAACCCUAAUGGUGGAGAGGGGUUCUUGAGCUCUUGAGCCACUCCCGCUCUGUGAAUUGUACUUUCACUUCUUCAGUAAACCUGCACUUUUUUUUUCUCUUUCCUUUUGUUGCUUUGUCUUUCAUUGCUUCGUUCUUUUGUUUCUUUGUGCGUUUUGUUCAAUUAUUUGCUCAACAUGCCCAGAACCUGGACAACUCACAGUAAAGACCUUCCAACAGCCUCUCUUUUUGAGUUGCUGCAGGCAAAGAGGACCUGAAGAGCUGCAGCCAUCUGGGAAUUGGACUCAGUGGGCCAUGUUUUUCCAGAGAGUGCAGUGUUCUUUUCAAAACUCUCAGUAGAGACCAAUCUUCCUCUACUUUCUGAGUCCUGGGGAAGUAAGUAGAAAGGCUGCAAUGAUAUGGAGUUCCCAACUUUCAGCAUCCCGUCCAAUAGGUGCUACAGACUACAAGUCUUAAAAAACUUGUUCCUCAGAUCACUCACACUUGGACAUCAGAGAGCAACAGUAACUACUUCUAUGGCUGUUUCAGGAGUUUGUUUAGGUGGCAGGAAGAAGUGCCAAGGGAAGAAGGAAGAGCCCCCUAAAAAAUGAUCAGAUCUUGUCAAAACUCAUUCACCGUCACGAGAGAAGCAUGGAGGAAACUACCCCAUGAUUCAGUUACCUCCACUUGGUUUCUCUGUUCACACAUGCUGAUUACGGGGAUUGCAAUUCAAGAUUAGAUUUGGGUGGGAACACAAAGCCUAACUAUAUUAAGAAGUGAUCCCUAGAUAUCUAUUUUUUGAAUGGUAUUGUAGAAAAUUAUUAUUUCUUAAAUGUUUCGUGGAAUUCACUGGUGAAGUCUGGGACUGCAGCUUUCUUUUUUGGAAGGUAUUAAUUAUUCAAAUUCUUUAAUCAAUAUAUACCUAUUCAGAUUAUCUGUUUCUUCUUAUGAGGAGUUUGUAGUUUUUAUCUUUCAAAAUAUUGAUUAAUUUUAUCAAAGUUAUCAAAUUUGUUGGCAUACAGUCGUUCGUAGUAUUCCUUGAUUAUCCUUCUAAUACCCAUGAGAUGACCCUUCUUUUAUUUCUGAUAUUGGUAAUUUUUAUUUUCUCUUUUUUUCUUCGUUAAAGUACCUACAGCUUUAUCAAUUUUAUCAAUCUCUUCAAAAAAGAAGCUUGAAUUUUUUAUUUUCUGUAUUUUACUGAUUUUAAUUACAUUAAUUUCUGCUCUGUUUUUUAUUUCUUCUGCUUGCUUUAUGUUUAAAUUGCUCUCUGUUCUCUAUUUUCCUAAUAUGGAACUUAGAUUAUUAACUUUAGGUCUUUCUUCUAAUAUAUGCAUUUAAUGCUGUAGAUUUCCCUCUAUUCAUUGCUUGCUGCAUUUCACAACUUUUGAUAAGUUGUAUUUUCAUUUUCAUUUAAUUCAAAACCCUUUUUAAUUUCUCUUGAGGCGUCUUUGACCAAAGUGGUAUUUAGACAUAUGUUGAAUCUGUAUUCUUACUGACCUUUUGCCUCUUUGACUUAGUAAUUACUGAUAAAGGAGUGCUAGUCUCUAACUAUAAUAGUGGAUUUAUACAUAAACUUAAGAUUUUUUUAUCUCUUCUUGUGUAAUUAACCACAUUAUCAUUAUUUAAUACCCUAUUUAUAACCAACAGUUUUCCUUGUUUGAACUCUGCCUUGUCUGAAAUUUAUAUAAUUACUCCAGCUUUCUUUCGAAUAGUACUAACAUGGUAUAUCUUUUAACUUAUUCAAUUGCUAAAAUUUAAAGUAGGUUCUCAUAGAUAAUAUGUUUGGGUCUUGUUGGUUUCCGCCCAAUUCUGACAAUCUAUUUUUAAAUUGAUUUAAGUGACUCACAUAUGAAGUGAUUAUUGAUACAGUUGAAUUAAUAUCUUUCUAUUAUUUUAAUGUGUCCCUUAAAGUUAAUAUGUUGAAAACUUGAUCCCCAACCUAUUGGUGUUGCGAAGUAGGGCCUGUUGGGAGGUGAAGCCUAAUGGGAGAUGUUUGGAUCCUGUGAGCACCUCUCUUAUGAGUGAAUUAAUGCUGUUAUUACAAAAGUAGAUUUGUUAUAGCAGGAGUAGGUCUCUUAUAUAAUGGAUGAGUUCAGUCCCCUUUUGCCCUCUGCCCUCCUGCCAUAGGAUGAUGCAGCAGGAAGGCCCUCAGAAGAUGCUGGCCCGUCAGUCUUGGGCUUUCCAGCCUCAAGAACCAUGAGUCAAUAAAUUACAGCUCUUUAUAAAUUAACCAGUCUGUGUUAUUUUUAUAGCAACUCAAAAGGACUAAGACAUAUUUAUUAUAUUUGUAACUAUUUUCUAUUUGUUGCUCUUCUUUUUUCUUUUCUUCCCCUUCCUUCUGCCUUUGCUACUUUUAAAUGAAUGUUUUAUUA